UACAGAGGUCCCAAGCGUUGUUCGGAUUCACUGGGCGUAAAGGGUGCGUAGGUGGCGGGGUAAGUUUGAUGUGAAAUCUCCGGGCUUAACCCGGAAACUGCAUUGAAUACUAUCCCGCUCGAGGGUUGGAGGGGGGACUGGAAUACUUGGUGUAGCAGUGAAAUGCGUAGAUAUCAAGUGGAACACCAGUGGCGAAGGCGAGUCCCUGGACAACUCCUGACACUGAGGCACGAAAGCUAGGGGAGCAAACAGG
rnacentral:rRNA from 1 species